rnacentral:rRNA from 1 species
UGAUGGCCAGGCUGUCUCCACCCGAGACUCAGUGAAAUUGAACUCGCUGUGAAGAUGCAGUGUACCCGCGGCAAGACGGAAAGACCCCGUGAACCUUUACUAUAGCUUGACACUGAACAUUGAGCCUUGAUGUGUAGGAUAGGUGGGAGGCUUUGAAGCGUGGACGCCAGUCUGCGUGGAGCCGACCUUGAAAUACCACCCUUUAAUGUUUGAUGUUCUAACGUGGAUCCGUAAUCCGGGUUGCGGACAGUGUCUGGUGGGUAGUUUGACUGGGGCGGUCUCCUCCUAAAGAGUAACGGAGGAGCACGAAGGUUGGCUAAUCCUGGUCGGACAUCAGGAGGUUAGUGCAAUGGCAUAAGCCAGCUUGACUGCGAGCGUGACGGCGCGAGCAGGUGCGAAAGCAGGUCAUAGUGAUCCGGUGGUUCUGAAUGGAAGGGCCAUCGCUCAACGGAUAAAAGGUACUCCGGGGAUAACAGGCUGAUACCGCCCAAGAGUUCAUAUCGACGGCGGUGUUUGGCACCUCGAUGUCGGCUCAUCACAUCCUGGGGCUGAAGUAGGUCCCAAGGGUAUGGCUGUUCGCCAUUUAAAGUGGUACGCGAGCUGGGUUUAGAACGUCGUGAGACAGUUCGGUCCCUAUCUGCCGUGGGCGCUGGAGAACUGAGGGGGGCUGCUCCUAGUACGAGAGGACCGGAGUGGACGCAUCACUGGUGUUCGGGUUGUCAUGCCAAUGGCACUGCCCGGUAGCUAAAUGCGGAAGAGAUAAGUGCUGAAAGCAUCUAAGCACGAAACUUGCCCCGAGAUGAGUUCUCCCUGAGACUUUAAGUCUCCUGAAGGAACGUUGAAGACGACGACGUUGAUAGGCCGGGUGUGUAAGCGCAGCGAUGCGUUGAGCUAACCGGUACUAAUGAACCGUGAGGCUUAACCUUACAACGCCGAAG